UUUUUUUGCUUUUCAAGUGUUAAUAUCAAUAUAAUAUAUGUGCUUCCUGAUUCUUCGUUAAUAUCAAUCAAGAAAGUCAGCACUCGAUAUUCUUCAAGUUUAUUUUCUGAUGUAUUGUUGAAACGAGUGAUCUUUCAGCAUAUACUAUGGGCUUUCCUUUAUGGCUUUGGCAAGCACUUUCCAUUCUACUACUUGUUUUCAUUUAUCUCUCCUGUUCUUCCUCUUUUCUCUCCGUAAUCUGGUCAGAACCAUUUCUGCUCAGUUUUUGUUCCCAUUGUUUUUCUGUUUUCUCUGCUUAGUCCCUUUUCUUUUCAGUUUCUGUCUCUUGUGAUUUUCCAAUUUCUUCACUUCGAUGUAGGGGAGUGGACAAAUACUGGGGAUAUGGUCUCAAAAUGGGUUUCCAUUAUCAUUAUAAUCCUUCUCUAACUCCGUACAUGGUGGUUUCGCAAUUAGAUUGCCCUUUAAAUUGUGGGUUCCUGAAGGUGAAAGUUGCUCGAGAUGGGAAAAAAGGGACAGUACUUCGACUCUAAGAGGUAUGCAUUUUCUGUUUAGUCCUUCGAGCACUUGAUAGUAUUGGUAAGCUCAGUUACUGUUAUAUAGAUCUUGUUUAUACUUUAGGAACUAUAAGGAGAUAUGAACCUCAAAAAGCAGAUGACCAGCCAUAAUAUAUUGGAUAACACGAUAGACUAAAAUCAAGUAUAGUUAUAGAAGUUGGAUCUUGUGCGUGCAAAAUUGUGUAAUUAUUUUAGCACCUUAAUCGUUUAUUAUCAAACAAUAGAUUGACCUUUGCCCAUAUAAGUUGUUCUCUUGCAUCAGAACUUUGUAUGAUUUAUGUACUUAUUAAGCAUUUGAGGAAACAUGUUUGUCAAAUUAUCUUUCAGGUAUUUCAAAAGAACAUAAAUACCAAUUUCUAGGUUAGAGGUGGCCUGUCAAUUAUUUUGCCUAUAUUUUGUUUCCUUGAUUGAUUUUGGGGUCCGGAACAAAUCUAUUACUGCUUUGCUGUGCAGUAUAUCGAGAGUUGGCUUCAGUGCUUAUGUGUCCUUGCCAAACAACAAUUUACUUUAUGAUGGGAGGAGUUUGGAAUGGUUUUCUCUUAGAAAUACUCAAAGUUACAGAGAGCUAAGAGUUUCCAGUUUCUUAAUAUUUUGUCAAGCUGAUCGUAAGAGAUACUAGUAAUCCUCCUCAUUAUAUUCAUCAAUUUUAAAUAAAUAAACAAUUUAAUGGUGAUGUGAACGCCAGACUAUAUCUGGAGUCUCAUAAUGCUGACUUUUUUUUUUUUUUGGGUAGAAUAUUUUCUCUGGUUCAAGUUUUGUUACACUUACUCCUAUGUACUUCGUUUUACCUUGAUUUUUGCAAGCUAUAAAGACCAACUACCAAUUACAAUUGACUCUUUAGCAUAGGCUCCUCCUCCUAAUUGAGAUAGGGAUCAAAGGUCUGAUGGACUUCUGGAUUUAAGUGGUAAAGACUUCUUUGAAACUCUAGCAAUGAUGUUGAUGCUGGCGAUAAAUGGAUUAGAAAAGCCAGUGAAGUAGCAGUGUGUUGUACUUCAACCUUUCAUGGGUAAGAUUUUGGAAGAAGCAGUUACCAUAGUCUGCAUGGAAGAAAAUUUUAUUGCAUUUAAGAUUGUUAUAAUAUUAUUUUUCAGUACCUAAAAAUAUUAUAUUCUUGUAGAUUGGUGCAGAUGGGAUUUUUUGCUGAAGCAGUGCCAGUUCAUAUCUUUCAUUUCAUAUCAUACCUCAACGGUAAAGAUUUUUGUCAAAUAUUGGGUGGCUCUCUAAAGCUUCAAGGCAUUACUCAAUGAACUCCAAAAAUACAGAUCAAAUCUGGCAUGAAAAGCUACAUUUCAUUUAUUCAUCUCUUGCUUCAUCAUUUAUGCUUCGGAAACAGCCGUCCUACCUUGGUAGGAGUAAGGUCUGCGUACACUCUACCCUCCCCAGACCCCACGUUGUGGGAUUUCACUGGGUUGUUGUUGUUGUUGCUUCAUCAUUUAUGCACCGGUAAGUGCUUCUGUUUUUGGAGAAUUUUCUCUCUUCCCCUUCCUGUUUUUCCUCUCUGCUUUUUCCAUUUCUCGAUUAGCUUUGUCUUGAGGUUCUAUGCAUAAGUUUGUCACGUUAAUUUUAAUGUGCAAUUGGUUUUUUUUUUUUUUUUUUUUUAAUUCUGAAUACAAAGUGAAGUGUUUUGUUUUGUUUUAUGAGUACAGUUUGACUCUUCUUAUUCUAGGUUUUCUUUAAUCUUUCUUGGAUUCUUAGUUAGUCAGUGAUGCUUAGGUUACCACUCUUAGGCUGCUGAUGAAUAAUGAUUAAUGAAAUUAUUGAAUAUUCUAUAAGACCAGGCUUUGCUAGGUCAAUUUUCUGCAGAUUAAAUGUUUGAGGGUGGGUGUAUGCACCUCUUCAGUGAAUCAUCUUUGAUUAUUGCAGCCUGUAGGUGUAAUCGGCUUCUUUCAUGAAUAACUGCUUAAGCAAUAAAACAUAGUUCACAACUUUCUCUCUGUGUUAGUGACGAAAAUUAAAGGCUUGUUUCUUACUUGGAAGUUAUGUUUUCACAUUCCAGAGCCUAUAGGAUGGUUGUGGUAUGAUGUUCUUACAUGACUCUCAUAUUGGUACUUGAUUCUUGAUCCACUGCCGAGUAAUAUGAACUAUGCUCUUUUUAAGGCAUCAAUCUAUUGGUAAAAUUGCUGCCUAUAUACCGAAAAUGUGUGAGGAAACUGAUUAAUUCAUCAUGAUAUUGGAGAUUAAUAAGUAUAUAGAUUUUUAGUGGCAAUUUAAUAUGAUUUCUUGUCAGUAAGAUGUACAAGAAACCUGCAGCUUAUAUAAGUAAAGAUAAACAACAAUGGGAUUAAUAGAUAGAUUGUCUUAGCGAGUUUCCUGAAGUACUAAAGAUAAUAAAGAGCUACCUGAUCAUCUGUAAAUGUCCCGCCAGUAUAUGUAACAGCAGUAUAAUACGGUGAGAGUCUCUCUAUAAUUGACACUCCCUUAAGUUAACUUCUCCUUUUUCAACUAUAUGAAGUACUAAUUAGUGCACAAAUGAACCAAUUUUUAGUCAUUUUUUUAUUGCCAUUGCCCUUGAUCCUUCUAUUAAAUUGCAGCGAAAACUUCAAGCCAGUUCAUUCUUGCAUUUACGUUUAUAUUCAAAGUCUUUGUGGAUGCUUCUCUGCUAGGUUGAACCAUUACACCUAUUUCUUUUUAGUGUUUCAUUCCUAUUUUGCAUCAUCUUUCUUUACGCUUUCUCUGUUGCUCCAUGCAUCCGCCCUCUCUCACAAAAGGUUAGAUAUUUCUUCUGUGAUCUCCAUUUGGGUCUCUCUGACUUUAUUUGUUUCCUUUGUUUUAUGUGUUAAUGCUUGAUUUAUAAGUGGUUUAUAUUUAUAAAGAGGUCUUAACUAGCCACAAUUCGGAAGAGACCUGUACCAGUCCAACCUGAACAGAGCUAUUUUAAGUUUUAGAAGCUCCAAGCUUUGUUGUUCGCCUCUCUCCAAAAAGAUUCCAGAAAUCAGCUGCCAAUAUUCAGAAUCCAGGCUAUUGCAACAUAUCUCAUACAUAUAAUUGAGCCACUACAAUCUCUUUGUUUUUGCCUUUCUAACAAGCUCCUGUACAAACUUCGUUUCACAAAUGAAUGUAAAAUAGUAUGAAGCAUAUUAUGUUAAUAUUUAGUUUAAUUAUGUUUUCUUUA